rnacentral:misc_RNA from 1 species
GCCGCUCACCCAACAAGGCAGCACCAGCUGCUUUUGGCCUAUCCGUGCCGCUCACCCAACAAGGCAGCAGCAGCAGCGGCUGCUUUUGGCCUCCUUUUUCUCGCACCUCGCAGCUCCUUCCCCCUCUCUGCGUCGUCUAUUCUCUUCUCUUGUUCAUUCAUCACGCGCAGGUGCCGGCGCUCAGCCAGUGCCGCCGCUCAAGAACAGGAAGAAAUACAGUACAGGAUGAAGUAAAACUCACACGCUGGAUGAACGAGAUCGGCGGCGGCGUGGAGAGUCGUGGAUGCCUCUCGACGAGAUCGGCGGCGGCGUGGAGAGCCGUGGAUGC